rnacentral:rRNA from 1 species
ACGACGCUGGCGGCGUGCUUCAUACAUGCAAGUCGAACGAGAAGCUGACUUCGGUCAGUGGAAAGUGGCGGACGGGUGAGUAAUGUGUAGAGAAUCUGCCCUAGAGAGAGGGACAACAGUUGGAAACGACUGCUAAUACCUCAUAUGCGCGUAGCUGAGAUGCUAUUCGUGAAAACUCCGGUGCUCUGGGAUGAGUCUGCAUCUGAUUAGCUAGUUGGCGGUGUAAUGGACCACCAAGGCGACGAUCAGUAGCUGGUUUGAGAGGAUGAUCAGCCACAAUGGGACUGAGACACGGCCCAUACUCCUACGGGAGGCAGCAGUAGGGAAUUUUGCGCAAUGGGGGGAACCCUGACCCAGCAACGCCGCGUGAGGGAAGAAGGUUUUCGGAUCGUAAACCUCUGUCCUUGGUGAAGAGGAAGAGACGGUAGCCAAGGAGGAAGCCCCGGCUAACUACGUGCCAGCAGCUGC